rnacentral:lncRNA from 11 species
CCGAAGAAGAAUAGCGGUGUAACACAAAAAGGCCCACCCCUGGAAACAUCAACCUGUUAUCCUUGAGAGUUCAAGACCUUCUUUUCUUUCUCCUGAAAGGCAGACCAGUGAGACUGUGAGCACAACUCAGUUUGGAUAAUCCAUUUCAAAUUAGAGGGUUUCCACCUGCCAAGCCCACCAUCUGGAGCAAGAGGAAGAUCUUGAGUUCUGGGUCAGUCAGUCAUGACGGAAAAGGAAGUUCUAUCAGAGCCUGAUCCAGAAUUUCCUGAUGUGAUUGUAAAGCUGGAACAAGAGGAGGAGCCAUGGGUCCUGGGUCACCAGAGGUGCGAGGAUAGUCGAAUCGUCCAAGGUACCAACUCAGGGUUCCCAGGUGUAAUAAUAAAACUAGAAGUAAAAGAGGAGAGAUGUACCCCAGAUUUCCAUCCCUUUGAAGAAAGUGAGACUGUCUCCAGUUUCCCAUUGGGUAAGGAACAUUUUCGGAUAUAUUUUAGUCCACAAUUAGUAUAAUUGACAUCUCCUCCUUUCCAGGUAAUUUGUACAUUGCACACCAAUAUCUUUAAAACAAUCUUUACUACAUCCAAUUAUGUUUCUAAUUAGAACAGACCAUUGAAUCAAUUGCUGAUUGGUAAACUGGCAUUUAUAUACAGUUGGACCU